GUUGACGAAUGACGAAGCGCUAGGCUGGCAGUAUUUGAAGACAUCGUGAAAGUAUUGUCUCGACCAGUUACCAGUUUUCAACGAUAAAAUUCAUCGUCAAUUUUAUGGUCAGACCAUCUCCAACUAUUAGUGGCCAAAAAAAGCAACAAGCAAAUCGAAUGAUUGAGGUGAUGGCAGGGAUUAUUCUGCACAGGUGUGGCAGCAAUGUCAAUCAGGCCGGAGUUUCCAGUAUCUGUAAGUUGCACAUCAACGGUAUUUCCAGUUUCAAUUCUUGUUCAUCGGGAACCGCUUCAAAAUGACAUCUGAUUGCGAACGAAUUUCAUCCUGUUCGAAAAAAGGGCAAUUUACAAUCUCCUUACAACUCCUAAUCUCCUAAGAACAAAACAAUUUGAUUCGAUCUGAAGCUAUCUCUAAACGAUCUGUUUUGGAAAAUGAAUUAACGACGUUUGCUGUUGCAAUAUACAGCGCUAUCCUAUCCAUUAAUUUUUUCCCUCAGAUGCCUCGUAAAAUGCCUUAUGCGGGCAAAUUAGCCAGCUAUACAGAACCAAGGUUCAGGGGUUUAUACAAGCUGGUCAUCAACAAGAACCGAAACAUAGCAAACUAAGUAUCAUGAUACCAGUUACAUCAGAUACUUCUAGAUUUUCAACAUCUUAGUUCACAGUUCCAAAAGACGCAAUCGCGACCUUGGCGAAUCUAGCUAUAGUGAUGUGAAGAUAGAUCUAUGGAUGGAAAUGUGAUGGAUCUUGAAAAGAAUGUGCUCAUUGGAAUCUGUUGAAUUAGUGAUUCAUGAUUAUUUACAAAGUCGUUGCUACCAUUGGUGUAGUCUAUGUAUAGUUAUACCAUUGAGAGAUUUUAAAUUGCUAUGAUCUUAGAUUGUAUAAACGGUAAUACCAUGCGGUUGUAAAAAUUCAUCACAAUGUUGUCAAAGAUGUACUCAAACUAAAUUUUUAAAUUAUCAAUCCAACAAAAUUAUAUUACAACAUGGCGGUAUGAAGAUACCUUCCUGAUCAUGAAUGAAAACAAAUUACUAAAAACUUGACCCAAGCUUAUUUUAGGAUUAAGCAAUCCUAAAUUCAUGAUUUUUCAAUGAGUGACUAGUGAUUCAAACGACAGAAGGUUUAAGGAAUGAGCGGUUCGGCGAAUUAAAACGAGUGUCUAUGCUAAAACCUGUAA